rnacentral:rRNA from 1 species
UACGUAGGGGGCAAGCGUUGUCCGGAAUCAUUGGGCGUAAAGAGCGCGUAGGCGGCCCGGUAAGUCCGCUGUGAAAGUCAAAGGCUCAACCUUUGAAUGUCAGCGGAUACUGCCGGGCUAGAGUCCGGAAGAGGCGAGUGGAACUCCUGGUGUAGCGGUGGAAUGCGCAGAUAUCAGGAGGAACACCGAUGGCGAAGGCAGCUCGCUGGGACGGUACUGACGCUGAGGCGCGAAAGCGUGGGGAGCGAACAGG